CAGAGGGUUCUUUCCUAGUAUGUAGUCUACCUGCAUUAAUCAAAUGUUUGUGUAAGCUUAUAUGUUUUGAUUUAGAUGGGAUCUUGUUCAGACUUCAUAGGACUGUAAAUGAAUAUUGCAACCUAAACGUUGAAAAUGGGGUUGUCGGAGAGUAAUAAAAGCGUCAUGAUGCUAGGCGAAGCAGUGAAGUGCCGAACCCUAGAUGGCGAUAGUCCAGUAGCCGAAAGCAUCACUAGCUUACGCUUUCACUCGAGUAGCAUGGGGCACGUGGAAUCCCGUGUGAAUCAGCAAUGACCACCUUGCAAGGCUAAAUACUCUUGGGUAACCGAUAGCGAAGUAGUACCGUGAGGGAAAGGGUGAAAAGAACCCCCGUCGGAGAGUGAAAUAGAACAUGAAACUG
rnacentral:ncRNA from 1 species